rnacentral:snRNA from 1 species
GGCACUGCUUUAGCCUCUG